rnacentral:rRNA from 1 species
AUGAAGGCUCAAGAAGAUACUAAACGCUCUGAUCGUCAGUUCAAGGUGGGUGACUGGGCAUUCCUGAAACUCCAACCCUACGUGCAACAGUCAGUUGCCCGACGACCGAACCACAAGCUGGGUUUCAAGUACUUCGGACCGUAUCAAAUAGUUGCUCGCACUGGUGAGGUGGCUUGCCGGUUGGCCCUGCCGGAGUCCAGCAAAAUCCACCCAGUGGUGCACGUUUCACUGAUCAAGCCGGCGGCUCCUCCAUCCAACUCGGAGGAUUCUUCAGAGUCGCUCCAUUGUGUGCUCGAGCACGCGUCUAGACCAGCUCAAGUACUCCAGUCGCGUCUGGUGCAAGUGGGGGGUCAUACCCGCACACAACUGAAGAUUGCUUGGCAAGGGUUGCCGUUGUCCAUGGCAACCUGGGAGUGGGCAAGAGCCUAUCGAAUUGUAAUCAGAACAUUAUUCCUAUCAAAGCUUUCCUCCCUGCUCCUUCCCCUCCUCCAAGUUCUCUCUUCCCCUGAGACUAUUCUUCUGGUUCGAGAUCCAGAUCCCGGCGAGACACAAGGAGGUUCUACGGGAACAUAG